ACUUUUAAAGGAUAGAAGUAAUCCAUUGGUCUUAGGCUCCAAACCCCUUGGUGCAAAUCCAUGUAAAAGUU
rnacentral:tRNA from 1 species